AUUGAACGCUGGCGGCAUGCUUUACACAUGCAAGUCGAACGGUAACAGGCCUUCGGGUGCUGACGAGUGGCGAACGGGUGAGUAAUGCAUCGGAACGUACCCAGAGGUGGGGGAUAACGCAGCGAAAGCUGUGCUAAUACCUCAUGUGAUCUGAGGAUGAAAGCGGGGGACCGAGCAGCAAUGUUUGGCCUCGCGCCUUUGGAGCGGCCGAUGUCGGAUUAGCUAGUUGGUGGGGUAAAGGCCUACCAAGGCGACGAUCCGUAGCUGGUCUGAGAGGACGACCAGCCACACUGGGACUGAGACACGGCCCAGACUCCUACGGGAGGCAGCAGUGGGGAAUUUUGGACAAUGGGCGCAAGCCUGAUCCAGCAAUGCCGCGUGCGGGAAGAAGGCCUUCGGGUUGUAAACCGCUUUUGGCAGGAACGAAACGGUGUCCGCUAAUACCGGGCGCUAAUGACGGUACCUGCAGAAUAAGCACCGGCUAACUACGUG
rnacentral:rRNA from 1 species